rnacentral:rRNA from 1 species
AUUGAACGCUGGCGGCAGGCCUAACACAUGCAAGUCGAGCGGAGCGGCGGACGGGUGAGUAAUUCCUAGGAAUCUGCAUGGUAGUGGGGGAUAACGUCCGGAAACGGGCGCUAAUACCGCUUACUAUCAGAUGAGCCUAUGGCGGAUUCGCUAGUUGGUGGGGUAAAGGCCUCCAAAGGCGACGAUCCUUAACUGGUCUGAGAGGAUGAGCAGUCACACUGGAACUGAGACACGGUCCAGAAUCCUACGGUAGGCAGCAGUGGGGAAUAUUGGACAAUGGGCGAAAGCCUGAUCCAGCCAUGCCGCGUGUGUGAAGAAGGGCUUCGGAUUUUAAAGCACUUUAAGUUGGGAGGCGUUACCAACAGAAUAAGCACCGGCUAACUUCGUGCCAGCCGCCGCGGUAAUUC